CCAUCACAAGGCUUCUCUUCCAGCAGUUUUUUGCUCCUACUGCUCAAGACUCAAUUAACCAGGGAGGAUUUUUCAGUAAUUCAGUAGGAUAAUCUGCUCACUCAAACAUGGAGCGUGGAAAACUGAACUACAAGGAACAGAGAGGGAACAGACCUCUGGCUUCAUAUUUUGGUCCAGCUAUCCUCCAGCCUUGACAACUGAGUCCAGGGAAGGAAUGGGAAGCAGAGGAGUUUCCUUAGCCCCAUCGGAAUUUGGGCACCUCCAUCCCACAGUUCUGUAAUGUUCCUUCAGGGCCUCUUCCCUCUUUUGGAAGCUCUCAUGUUCCCCCAUCUCUGACCUCUUCUGCCACCAUCCUGCUGUUGCAGUGAGUUUACAGAGCUUUGUAAUUUCCAGUGACAGUUUCUGUUCUAGUUCCUGUCAUUAACUGUUACGGGACAGAGUACCAGAGGAGUGGAGAUUGGACAGUUAAUUAAACCUGCCUAUUUCUCUCAAAAAUAAACACCUCUGCUUCUUCCUUUUCA